CUCUUCAACUGCCUGUUCUGCCACCUGAUCCGCCAUCUUAUCUCCAGUUUCCUGUACAGUGCUACCUUUCUGAUGUCCUUUACAGAGUAUAAUAGCCAUGCUCUUUGGUCUGGCCGACUGGCACAGUCAGUCUCCAAGCAGUCGCACGCUGCCGGUUUGGAGGUAGUUCUGUGUUGGUGUUAGAAUCAUGGAAUGGCCUGGGUUGAGAAGGACCUCAAAGAUCGUCCAGUUCCAACCCCCUGCUAUGUGCAGGGUCACCAAC
rnacentral:lncRNA from 1 species